CCUAUGCUUCGCUAGGAGGCGUCGAGCGGCGGACGGGUGAGUAAUGCAUAGGAAUCUACCCAGUCGUGGGGGAUAACCUGAGGAAACUCAGGCUAAUACCGCAUACGUCCUACGGGAGAAAGCGGGGGCUCUUCGGACCUCGCGCGAUUGGAUGAGCCUAUGUCGGAUUAGCUAGUUGGUAAGGUAACGGCUUACCAAGGCGACGAUCCGUAGCUGGUCUGAGAGGAUGAUCAGCCACACCGGGACUGAGACACGGCCCGGACUCCUACGGGAGGCAGCAGUGGGGAAUAUUGGACAAUGGGCGCAAGCCUGAUCCAGCCAUGCCGCGUGUGUGAAGAAGGCUUUCGGGUUGUAAAGCACUUUCAGCGGGGAAGAAGGCUUGUCGGUCAAUACCCGGCAAGAGCGACAUCACCCGCAGAAGAAGCACCGGCUAACUCCGUGCCAGCAGCCGCGGUAAUACGGAGGGUGCAAGCGUUAAUCGGAAUUACUGGGCGUAAAGCGCGCGUAGGCGGCGUGUCACGCCGGGUGUGAAAGCCCCGGGCUCAACCUGGGAACGGCAUCCGGAACGGGCAGGCUAGAGUGCAGGAGAGGAAGGUAGAAUUCCCGGUGUAGCGGUGAAAUGCGUAGAGAUCGGGAGGAAUACCAGUGGCGAAAGCGGCCUUCUGGACUGACACUGACGCUGAGGUGCGAAAGCGUGGGUAGCAAACAGGAUUA
rnacentral:rRNA from 1 species